rnacentral:lncRNA from 1 species
UGAAGCUCUUGGAGCAAUUUGUCUGCGCCCACACGGGUAUCAUCUUCUAUGCUCCAUACACAGGAGUCUGUGUGAAGCAGCACAAGCGGUUGACCCAGGCCAUCCAGAAAGCCAGGGAUCAUGGUCUCCUCAUUUACCACAUCCCCCAGGUUGAACCACGGGACCUUGACUUCAGUACCUCUCAUGGGGCUGUGAGUGCUACUCCGCCAGCCCCCACCCUGGUCUCAGGUGACCCCUGGUACCCAUGGUACAACUGGAAACAGCCACCGGAGAGAGAACUGUCUCGCCUUCGCCGGCUUUACCAGGGUCAUCUCCAAGAAGAGAGUGGCCCCCCACCUGAGUCAAUGCCCAAGAUGCCCCCUAGAACACCAGCGGAAGCCUCCUCCACUGGGCAGACAGGCCCUCAGAGUGCUCUGUAGGAGCUGUAGACUGGGAAGAGAGGCCAGGCGUGGUGGCUCACUCCUGUAAUCCCAGCACUUUGGGAAGCCAAGGUGGGCUGAUCACUUGAUCCCAGGAGUUUGAGACCAGCCUGGGCACCAUGGUGAAACCUCGUCUUUACCAAAAAAUACAAAAAUUAGCUGGGUGUGGUGGUGCACACCUGUAGUCUCAACUAUUGGGGAGGCUAAGGUAGGAUCACUUGAUCCCAGGAGGCGGAGGUUGCAGUGAGUUGCAGUCACACCCCUGCACUCCAGCCUGGGUGACAGCUAGACCCUGUCUCAAAAAAAAAAAAAAAGACUGGGAAGAGAGCUAGAGGGACUAGGAGAUAAUGUGUAUGUAGGUUUAUGUGAUGGGAUAUCACCCUGAAGAGUUGUGUCUUUUGUGGCCAGUGACAAAUCCAGGAAAUGAAUGUUGCUGAUAGGGAUAAAUCUUGAGGCUGAGGGCGGGUGGUACAGAUGUGUAUGGGAAACCCCAACCCCUAUAUAUUGUAAAUAGAUGGGCUGGGCUAAACAUUGUUGCCGUUUCAUACUUCUACCAACUCAGCUUUUACACAAUAAAGCUCUACUGUCUCUGGUUU